rnacentral:rRNA from 1 species
AGGUAUUCCGGUAGACGAUGGGGAUGCGUUCCAUUAGAUAGUAGGCGGGGUAACGGCCCACCUAGUCUUCGAUGGAUAGGGGUUCUGAGAGGAAGGUCCCCCACAUUGGAACUGAGACACGGUCCAAACUCCUACGGGAGGCAGCAGUGAGGAAUAUUGGUCAAUGGGCGAGAGCCUGAACCAGCCAAGUAGCGUGAAGGAUGACUGCCCUAUGGGUUGUAAACUUCUUUUAUAAAGGAAUAAAGUCGGGUAUGGAUACCCGUUUGCAUGUACUUUAUGAAUAAGGAUCGGCUAACUCCGUGCCAGCAGCCGCGGUAAUACGGAGGAUCCGAGCGUUAUCCGGAUUUAUUGGGUUUAAAGGGAGCGUAGAUGGAUGUUUAAGUCAGUUGUGAAAGUUUGCGGCUCAACCGUAAAAUUGCAGUUGAUACUGGAUAUCUUGAGUGCAGUUGAGGCAGGCGGAAUUCGUGGUGUAGCGGUGAAAUGCUUAGAUAUCACGAAGAACUCCGAUUGCGAAGGCAGCCUGCUAAGCUGCAACUGACAUUGAGGCUCGAAAGUGUGGGUAUCAAACAGGAUUAGAUACCCUGGUAGUCCACACGGUAAACGAUGAAUACUCGCUGUUUGCGAUAUACGGCAA